rnacentral:rRNA from 1 species
AUUGAACGCUGGCGGCAGGCCUAACACAUGCAAGUCGAACGAGUGGCGGACGGGUGAGUAAUGUCUGGGAAACUGCCUGAUGGAGGGGGAUAACUACUGGAAACGGUAGCUAAUACCGCAUACCAUCGGAUGUGCCCAGCUGGGAUUAGAUAGUAGUUGGGGUAAAGGCUCACCUAGGCGACGAUCCCUAGCUGGUCGUAGAGGAUGACCAGCCACACUGGAACUGGGACACGGCCCAGACUCCUACGGUAGGCAGCAGUGGGGAAUAUUGCACUAUGGGCGCAAGCCUGAUACAGCCAUGCCGCGUGGAUGAAGAAGUCCUUCGGGUUUUAAAGUACUUUCAGCGGGGAGGCGUUACCCGCAGAAGAAGCACCGGCUAACUCCGUGCCAGCAGCCGCGGUAAUUC